rnacentral:lncRNA from 1 species
GUUCGUUUGACACCAAGGUGCUAUAGCAUACUAUAGUAUGUGUUUAACCACCCUGGCCUCAGAGAGACCCGGGUUUAAGUUCUCACUAAGUCACCUAAGUAAUAAGGUUAACUAAGCGAGUCACAUGAAUUGUCCUUUCUCAACGCCUCAGCUUCUAGCUCUGCAAAGCAAAGAUCUAACGAGAGCGCGGGAGUGGAAGCCCCCAUGGUCACUCUGCGGAAGCCCCUCAGCCCAGCCUACCCGGUGCCGCAGUUCACUGCUUGGUGGUAUUUCCGAGGCUGGCCGGGCCCUCUGCUGCUGACCCUGGAAAUCGGGUCACACUACACAAGUCGGCAUGUGCGGGGCGGGCGGGGGCUUUUUUUCGCCCGGCUGCUAGCGUUUCCCUCGGGCCUCCGGAGAGUCUAAAAACUCACUUCGGAGGAAGGGAAAGAGCGUGAAGUGGCUCUUUCGAUCUGAGACACCCCUUCCCGGAGAAAUCGCCCCCUCCCCCAGCCCAGCGCGGAGUGAAACCCUAGAAGCCGCGGCGGCUGGGUUUGAACGGAAUGCCGGAGUCGGUGGAAGCCGGAGCUGGUCGGCCAGAAGUGUGUCUUGCCACCAACGCUAGCCCCUGCUUUGAACUCGGGAUGACAGAGCGUGGAAGCCCCGCUGCCCUGGACACUGCUGGUGACGCGGGGGCCCGGGCUGGCAGCCGAGGCCAGGGAAGGAAGGCAGCAGCAUGCCUGCCUCAAGGCAGAACACUCGCCUUUCCCGGAACCUGAAACCCAGGGGAGCCGCUGCCAUCUUCGCGUGACGAGCAGCGAGACGCCGGUGAUUAAGUGUUUCUUUCCGGCUCUCCUCCUUUCCACAGGGCUAGAAGAAUAAAACCUGCUGAAAAAAAAACCCACACAGGACUGCACUCUCCAUUCGCUCUCCACCUUCAUACUGGUCUCCCAGGGUGCGUGGAGACUCUGAGGACUGGAUCCCAGAGCCGUAGGCCUCAGUUUCCAUUCUCUUGGGCUCAAAUCUCAGUUUAAUGAAGGGUGCACACAUUGCUGAAGCCUCUGGACCCCAUCUCCUCACCCCCCCCCAUAGGGAUUAAACCUAAACACAAGAAUACCCACCCACACCCGGGACUAAUCCUGCCUCGCCUCCUGGGAUUAACAGGGCUCACAGGUUCAUAAAACGCUUCCGGUGAGGCCAGAGGGUCUGUCUGCAGAAACCCUUUAAAACUGUCCACCAGGGCCUGGAGUCGGAACUGACCCCGUGGAGGGAAGUGAAUAAAUAGACAAUCCAAU